UACAGAGGUCUCGAGCGUUGUUCGGAUUCAUUGGGCGUAAAGGGUGCGUAGGCGGCGGGGCAAGUCUGAUGUGAAAUCCCGGGGCUCAACUCCGGAACUGCAUUGGAUACUGCCUUGCUCGAGUACUGGAGAGGAGACUGGAAUUUACGGUGUAGCAGUGAAAUGCGUAGAGAUCGGAAAGAACACCAACGGCGAAAGCACUCUGCUGGGCCGACACUGACACUGAGAGACGAAAGCUAGGGGAGCGAAUGGG
rnacentral:rRNA from 1 species